rnacentral:rRNA from 1 species
CCUACGGGAGGCAGCAGUGGGGAAUAUUGGACAAUGGGCGAAAGCCUGAUCCAGCAAUGCCGCGUGAGUGAUGAAGGCCCUAGGGUUGUAAAGCUCUUUUACCAGGGAUGAUAAUGACAGUACCUGGAGAAUAAGCUCCGGCUAACUCCGUGCCAGCAGCCGCGGUAAUACGGAGGGAGCUAGCGUUGUUCGGAAUUACUGGGCGUAAAGCGUGCGUAGGCGGUGACUCAAGUCAGAGGUGAAAGCCUGGAGCUCAACUCCAGAACUGCCUUUGAAACUAGGUCGCUAGAAUCACGGAGAGGUGAGUGGAAUUCCGAGUGUAGAGGUGAAAUUCGUAGAUAUUCGGAAGAACACCAGUGGCGAAGGCGGCUCACUGGACGUGUAUUGACGCUGAGGCACGAAAGCGUGGGGAGCAAACAGGAUUAGAUACCCUGGUAGUCCACGCCGUAAACGAUGAUAACUAGCUGCCAGGGCUCUUAGAGNUUGUGGCGCAGCUACGCAUUAAGUUAGUCCGCCGUGGGAGGUACGGUCGGCGAAGUAAGUUAAACGUUACAAGUAGUUAAGUUAGUACGGCGUUGAGACGNGCCGACGGACGACGACGAGGGAGGAGG